UCAAAACAGCGGCCUUCGGGCCUCGCUGCACCCUUGUCUUUUGCGCACCGUAUUGUUUCCUCGGCGGGCUUGCCUGCCGGUUGGGCAUCAUAAAACCUUUUUGUAGUUGCAAUCAGCGUCAGAAAAACAAUAAUUAUUA
rnacentral:misc_RNA from 1 species